rnacentral:rRNA from 1 species
CCUACGGGAGGCUGCAGUGGGGAAUAUUGGACAAUGGGGGGAACCCUGAUCCAGCCAUGCCGCGUGUGUGAAGAAGGCCCUCGGGUUGUAAAGCACUUUCAGUGAGGAAGAACGCCUGGUGGUUAAUACCCAUCAGGAAAGACAUCACUCACAGAAGAAGCACCGGCUAACUCCGUACCAGCAGCCGCGGUAAUACGGAGGGUGCGAGCGUUAAUCGGAAUUACUGGGCGUAAAGCGCGCGUAGGUGGCUUGAUAAGCCGGUUGUGAAAGCCCCGGGCUCAACCUGGGAACGGCAUCCGGAACUGUCAAGCUAGAGUGCAGGAGAGGAAGGUAGAAUUCCCGGUGUAGCGGUGAAAUGCGUAGAGAUCGGGAGGAAUACCAGUGGCGAAGGCGGCCUUCUGGACUGACACUGACACUGAGGUGCGAAAGCGUGGGUAGCAAACAGGAUUAGAUACCCGUGUAGUC